UUCAUUUGGCAGCCAGUACUACCUAAUUACUUUGACUAUCAGCGCACCAGCCUCAAAUACAUUUCCAAUGUCCAAUGUCAUGAACUGAAAAGGGGCUUAUCACACAAGGGAAAAUUCUGUUGCUUACCAAUGAGGAGGCACCUUGAGCACCAACAGAAGCUACACUGAGUCUAGACUGUGGAAAAUAAGACUCUCAUAUGUGAAUAAUCAGAUGAUAAUCUGGAGACUGAAAGAGCCAGAGGUACUGAAGGGACGAUCCUGGCACAUCUUGGUCCAAGUGCUGCUGGUAACUGUCCUCCUAGGAGGCCAGGGAGGGCCGUUUCCCAGUGUCCUGCAGCUUCUCUUUCUCAUGAUUGAUGAAAUGCCUGAGGGUGCAGUGCAUGUGCCUGGGUCCCGCUGCCCCAAUAGUGUCAGAACUGAAAAGGAUGGAAGCACUUCCCAGUCUCUUUGGGAAGAAGGGCUGGAAUAUCCAAUAAGGCUGCCAACCUGUGGGAAUGUACUCUUCCCCGCUGUGGGCAGUUUCCCCACGACAACAGAUACGGUGCCUGUCUCCAGCCAACUGAAUCCAUUCCACAGUUGAUGAGCACUUGGGUUGUACCCAUGUUUUACUGUUAUGACAGACGCUGCUGAAAACAUUAUUACACACGUCUCCGGGUGUUUAUGUGCAAGACAGGGAAUUUGCUAGGUCAUGGGGGAAAAUUCCAUUUCAUUAAUCUAAAUGGGAACUUUCCAAAUAGAAAAAGAAAACACUUAUCCAGAAAAAGAGGAAGACGCUAAGCCAGAAGCAGCAGGAGCCGUGCCAGGAGAGCAUCACGGGUCAGAUACCAAAGAGAGUCCACCUUCACCAGAACCAAGCGCGGGGCCCCGUCCUUUCAUCUGUUACAACCACAGGAGCGGAAACACAUUCCAGCCCUUCGUACAUAAUGUAUCAUUCUAUCACCCAUCUUGAAGAUUAAAAUGAUUCAGUUCUGUGAAA